CAUAUCACGUUGAAACACCGAUUCUCGUACGAUCACCAAAGUUAACCAACAUCGAUUCUGGUUAGUAUCUAGAUGGGUGACCGCUUGGGAAUAACCAGUUGCUGUAA